UGGGGAUUCGUCCCAGGCGAGCGCCCGCCAGAGUUAAACCAAACUCUUGUUAUUUAACCGGUCGUCUGAGUUAAAAUUUUGAAUAAAUCAAAACUUUCAACAACGGAUCUCUUGGUUCUCGCAUCGAUGAAGAACGCAGCGAAAUGCGAUAAGUAAUGUGAAUUGCAGAAUUCAGUGAAUCAUCGAAUCUUUGAACGCACAUUGCGCCCCUUGGUAUUCCGAGGGGCAUGCCUGUUCGAGCGUCAUUACACCACUCAAGCUAUGCUUGGUAUUGGGCGUCGUCCUUAGUUGGGCGCGCCUUAAAGACCUCGGCGAGGCCACUCCGGCUUUAGGCGUAGUAGAAUUUAUUCGAACGUCUGUCAAAGGAGAGGAACUCUGCCGACUGAAACCUUUAUUUUUCUAGGUGACC
rnacentral:misc_RNA from 1 species